rnacentral:rRNA from 1 species
UCGAGAAUUUUUCACAAUGGGGGAAACCCUGAUGGAGCGACGCCGCGUGGAGGAUGAAGGCCCUUGGGUUGUAAACUCCUGUCAUAAGAGAACAAGAAAGUGAUAGUAUCUUAAGAGGAAGAGACGGCUAACUCUGUGCCAGCAGCCGCGGUAAUACAGAGGUCUCAAGCGUUGUUCGGAUUCAUUGGGCGUAAAGGGUGCGCAGGCUGUGUGGUAAGUCAGGUGUGAAAUUUAGAGGCUUAACCUCUAAACUGCACUUGAUACUGCCAUGCUAGAGGACUGUAGAGGAGAUUGGAAUUCACGGUGUAGCAGUGAAAUGCGUAGAUAUCGUGAGGAAGACCGGUGGCGAAGGCGAAUCUCUGGGCAGUUCCUGACGCUCAUGCACGAAGGCUAGGGGAGCAAACGGGAUUAGAUACCCGCGUAGUCC